UCGAACGAACUCUGGUAUUGAUUGGUGCUUGCAUCAUGAUUUACAUUUGAGUGAGUGGCGAACUGGUGAGUAACACGUGGGAAACCUGCCCAGAAGCGGGGGAUAACACCUGGAAACAGAUGCUAAUACCGCAUAACAACUUGGACCGCAUGGUCCGAGUUUGAAAGAUGGCUUCGGCUAUCACUUUUGGAUGGUCCCGCGGCGUAUUAGCUAGAUGGUGAGGUAACGGCUCACCAUGGCAAUGAUACGUAGCCGACCUGAGAGGGUAAUCGGCCACAUUGGGACUGAGACACGGCCCAAACUCCUACGGGAGGCAGCAGUAGGGAAUCUUCCACAAUGGACGAAAGUCUGAUGGAGCAACGCCGCGUGAGUGAAGAAGGGUUUCGGCUCGUAAAACUCUGUUGUUAAAGAAGAACAUAUCUGAGAGUAACUGUUCAGGUAUUGACGGUAUUUAACCAGAAAGCCACGGCUAACUACGUGCCAGCAGCCGCGGUAAUACGUAGGUGGCAAGCGUUGUCCGGAUUUAUUGGGCGUAAAGCGAGCGCAGGCGGUUUUUUAAGUCUGAUGUGAAAGCCUUCGGCUCAACCGAAGAAGUGCAUCGGAAACUGGGAAACUUGAGUGCAGAAGAGGACAGUGGAACUCCAUGUGUAGCGGUGAAAUGCGUAGAUAUAUGGAAGAACACCAGUGGCGAAGGCGGCUGUCUGGUCUGUAACUGACGCUGAGGCUCGAAAGUAUGGGUAGCAAACAGGAUUAGAUACCCUGGUAGUCCAUACCGUAAACGAUGAAUGCUAAGUGUUGGAGGGUUUCCGCCCUUCAGUGCUGCAGCUAACGCAUUAAGCAUUCCGCCUGGGGAGUACGGCCGCAAGGCUGAAACUCAAAGGAAUUGACGGGGGCCCGCACAAGCGGUGGAGCAUGUGGUUUAAUUCGAAGCUACGCGAAGAACCUUACCAGGUCUUGACAUACUAUGCAAAUCUAAGAGAUUAGACGUUCCCUUCGGGGACAUGGAUACAGGUGGUGCAUGGUUGUCGUCAGCUCGUGUCGUGAGAUGUUGGGUUAAGUCCCGCAACGAGCGCAACCCUUAUUAUCAGUUGCCAGCAUUAAGUUGGGCACUCUGGUGAGACUGCCGGUGACAAACCGGAGGAAGGUGGGGAUGACGUCAAAUCAUCAUGCCCCUUAUGACCUGGGCUACACACGUGCUACAAUGGAUGGUACAACGAGUUGCGAACUCGCGAGAGUAAGCUAAUCUCUUAAAGCCAUUCUCAGUUCGGAUUGUAGGCUGCAACUCGCCUACAUGAAGUCGGAAUCGCUAGUAAUCGCGGAUCAGCAUGCCGCGGUGAAUACGUUCCCGGGCCUUGUACACACCGCCCGUCACACCAUGAGAGUUUGUAACACCCAAAGUCGGUGGGGU
rnacentral:rRNA from 2 species